rnacentral:lncRNA from 1 species
GCCAUGGUAACUGAGACAGGAAUCAUGCCGUUGGGACACUGGUGUUAUUUAACCAAAUCAUGGUAACUGAAAUUUGUGCAUAUUGGAACUGCACAAAGUGAGGACUGAUUGUCCUGAAUUGAUAUAAAAUUACUUACACCUAGAAAGGCCAGAGCAACAAUCAGUAUGUACAUUGUAAUCUGAUUAGAAAACUGAUAAGAGAAAAAUACGGAAAAAAUAUUAUUCACAAUAACUACUCCUAAGUUAUAAUUCUUAUGAAUAAGCUCAAAAAAGAAUGGGCAAAGGUUAUAUUUAAAAACAAACUUUAUUGAAAGAUGUAAAGGAAGACAUGGAUAAACCGAGAAACAUCUUCCUGGAAAAGCAGAGUCAACAUUUUGAAGUCACUAUUCUAGGAGCUGGAGAUACAGUAUUGAACAAAGCUGGCGAAAUCCCUCCCUUGUGCUGUGGUUCUUGCACUCUAAUGAAGAACAGUCAGGCUGCUGAGGAAGCUCCAUGUGGGUGAAAUAACCUCUUCCUGGAUAUACAGAGGUGUCGACUUUGUGAGAGCUGAGAUCACAGGAAAACCAAGCAGCCUGAAAUCUAAGGAAAGAUGGCCUUUUCCAAGGAGAGAUUCGAGCACUGACUCACCUGUGGCAAAAUAGGAGGUGGGGGAAAAGACAGGCGCCAUACAAGCAGGUAAAAAUAUUCAGCUAACAAUUUGAAUAAUUUGAUAAAUGCCGACUGUGGGUGAUACAGGGCUACAGUCACAGAGGGAGCCCACAUUCACCCACAGGCUCAUCUCCGUGGCCCUCCUGUGGAUGCUCACAAGGAAGUCCGAGGGCAGAGCAGGAGACGGCCUCCUGCAGAGGAGCAGGUCUGGAGGAAGGGAAGUGGCCACGUGUCCCGUGGGAGGUGACCAAGGCCUUGCUGGACCCUGUUCUAUAUAAGACAAAGUCUUAACUCAGUCUUUGGGAGACGGGCAGCACCCACUUCAGGGUACGUGUGGAGAGAAGAAACUACAGGUGGG